UGAGGAAUAUUGGUCAAUGGGCGAGAGCCUGAACCAGCCAAGUCGCGUGAGGGAAGACGGUCCUAUGGAUUGUAAACCUCUUUUGUCAGGGAGCAAGGAGCGCCACGAGUGGCGCUUCGGAGAGUACCUGAAGAAAAAGCAUCGGCUAACUCCGUGCCAGCAGCCGCGGUAAUACGGAGGAUGCGAGCGUUAUCCGGAUUUAUUGGGUUUAAAGGGUGCGUAGGCGGAAAGUUAAGUCAGCGGUAAAAUCGAGGGGCUCAACCCCUUCCGCCGUUGAACUGGUUUUCUUGAGUGGAAGAGAAGUAUGCGGAAUGCGUGGUGUAGCGGUGAAAUGCAUAGAUAUCACGCAGAACCCCGAUUGCGAAGGCAGCAUACCGGCUUCCAACUGACGCUGAAGCACGAAAGCGUGGGGAUCGAACAGGAUUAGAUACC
rnacentral:rRNA from 1 species